rnacentral:rRNA from 1 species
UUUGAAGAAGCGGCAAAGGAGGUACGUUAAGUAGCAAGGUUAAGCGCUUAAGGUGUGGAUCCGUAGCGAAAGCGAGUUUUAACGGAGCGUGCAGUUCCUUGACGUAGACCCGAAACCGGGCGACCUACCCAGGAGCAGGAUGAAGCGAAAGUAAAAUGUCGUGGAGGUCCGAACCCACGAGCGUGGAAAGGCUCGGGGAGGACUUGUGGGUAGCGGUGAAAUUCCAAUCGAGCCCGGAGAUGGCUGGUUCUCCCCGAAAUAGCUUUAGGGCUGGCCUCAAGGUGAGAGAUACGGAGGUAGAGCACUGAAUGUCCUAGGGGGUAUUGCACCUACCGAAGACUAUCAAACUCCGAAGGCCGUCAUCUUAUACUUGGGAGUCAGACUGUGGGUGAUAAGGUUCAUAGUCGAAAGGGCAACAGCCCAGAUCGUCAGCUAAGGUCCCUAAAUGUAAGUUAAGUGG